UACGUAGGGAGCAAGCGUUGUCCGGAAUCAUUGGGCGUAAAGCGCGCGUAGGUGGCUUCGUAAGUCCGUUGUGAAAGUCAAAGGCUCAACCUUUGAAUGCCGAUGGAUACUGCGGAGCUAGAGUACGGAAGAGGCGAGUUGGAAUUCCUGGUGUAGCGGUGGAAUGCGCAGAUAUCAGGAGGAACACCAAUAGCGAAGGCAGCUCGCUGGGACGUUACUGACACUGAGAUGCGAAGCGUGGGGAGCAACAGG
rnacentral:rRNA from 1 species